rnacentral:rRNA from 1 species
UACAGAGGGUGCGAGCGUUUAAUCGGAAUUACUGGGCGUAAAGCGCGCGUAGGCGGCUUUGCAAGUCGGGUGUGAAAUCCCCAGGCUUAACCUGGGAACUGCAUUCGAGACUGCAUUGCUAGAGUAUGGGAGAGGGAAGUGGAAUUUCCGGUGUAGCGGUGAAAUGCGUAGAUAUCGGAAGGAACAUCAGUGGCGAAAGCGACUUCCUGAACCAAUACUGACGCUCAUGUGCGAAAGCGUGGGGAGCAAACAGG